rnacentral:rRNA from 1 species
GAAGGCCYUCGGGUUGUAAACUGCUUUUGUACGGAANGAAAAGCCUGGGGCUAAUAUCCCCGGGUCAUGACGGUACCGUAAGAAUAAGCACCGGCUAACUACGUGCCAGCAGCCGCGGUAAUACGUAGGGUGCAAGCGUUAAUCGGAAUUACUGGGCGUAAAGCGUGCGCAGGCGGUUUUGUAAGACAGUGGUGAAAUCCCCGGGCUCAACCUGGGAACUGCCAUUGNGACUGCAAGGCUAGAGUGCGGCANANGGGGAUGGAAUUCCGCGUGUAGCAGUGAAAUGCGUANAUAUGCGGANGAACACCGAUGGCGAAGGCAAUCCCCUGGGCCUGCACUGACGCUCAUGCACGAAAGCGUGGGGAGCAAACAGGAUUAGAUACCCUGGUAGUCCACGCCCUAAACGAUGUCAACUGGUUGUUGGGUCUUAACUGACUCAGUAACGAAGCUAACGCGUGAAGUUGACCGCCUGGGGAGUACGGCCGCAAGGUUGAAAC